AACACAUUGGAGUUCCUCAUAUCCUUUUAGGGUAUCAACACAAUCCAUUAGUUCUUGAGUAUUUUCCUGAAAUAUAUACUUCCCUUCUACUGCACAGAGUAAUCUUGUGGUAGGCUGAGACAGGUUGAUUCCUUUAAUCAUAAAUUGAGCUCUUUCAGAUGCAGAUAUUGCUAUUGGUUUGACACUUGAAAUUUUACUACAGUUGUUACCUCUGAGAGGCAAGGAUGCAUCCACAACAACCUGACCAUUGCAAACAAAUGCUANNCUUGAUGCUGCACCUUAAUAUAGACCCAUCCAGUUCUCCAGAAAGCAUCAUCUGAUACGUCCAGAAGCCUACUCAAACUGGAGCCAAGAUUACAGCAAAGUUCCUCCCACGUAGACUCAGCCUGACGAAGAUAAAUGGUCAGAAUGACACAACCAGGCCUAAUGUAGCU
rnacentral:misc_RNA from 1 species